rnacentral:lncRNA from 1 species
UGUUUUCGUUCUUUGUAGAAGGAUCUUUGCUCUUCAGCAUUCGCUGCUCGGAUCGCACCGCUACGCUUAUUGAGUAACGCUUCCAUAAGCCGAUGACUGGUUGAGCCUGCUCCACCUCUUUCUAUGCAGCGAGUAUUCUUCUUUUCGAUGCUAUUUCUGUCCAGUCGAUCUAUUCAAGAUUUCUGGCGUUACAUGCAUGUCUCUGAUUUUGCUUUUACUAUUUUUCGAUAGAGAUUGUGGUGCCAGAUUUGAAUUUUGCUGCUUGUCGGUAGUCUUGCCCGUUGGGUGCUACGGUU